AAAUUUUCGAAAACAAAUAUCUAAUCCCGACUUAAAAAGAAACUGCAAUUCUACUCAUCAGAAUUUUUGAACCCGCUACAAACUUGUUGAAUAUUUCCGCAAAACUACGCAAAAAAUUAACAAAAUUACCAAACCACAUAUCGGCCGACAUCAAAUGAAUUAAACGGAAAAUUCCUUCACCCAAAUUUUGAAUAUACUGGACUGGCAUAGAACACCAAAGGUAUGUUUCUGACAAUUUCCAGUGGAUUAUUGGGAUAUAAUUUAAAAUUCAAGAUGGUAGGUUUAAGGGAAGUGAAUUGAAUGUGUGUUUGAAAAAAAAAUUGGAAAAGAUGAAAUUAAAUAUAUUUUUUAAAAAGAAUAGUUAAAAAAUCAAACUUAAAUUUAAAAAAAAAGAAUAAAUAAAUAAUUAAAAAAUUAUUAUUAUGAGAAAUUGGAUUUCUUCCAAGUUGGAAAAAAUGUAUGUGAAAAUACUAUAAUUUGAAUAAAAAAUUAAGUCAUUGUUAUAACAAACCAUGGCAACCGUCAUAACCAAGGCAACAUAACACUAAGCCAUACGAAAGAAAAAAAAUGUUAAAAGGCCUAGAGAGUUCUAGUGAAAAUAUUGUGAAACUCAAUUAGCUUAUUUCAGAUUGUGAAAUAGACAGAAAAAAUAAAACUAAAAGUGUUAAAAAAA